rnacentral:lncRNA from 13 species
GCGUCACCAGUCAUUACCGGUGCAGGCUACAUNNNNNNNNNNUCCUCCCUCCCACCCUUGUCCUCCCUCUCCUCCUCCAUUGUCCUCCCUCUCCUCCUCCAUUGUCCUCCCUCUCUCCUCCCUUGUCCUCCCUCGUCCUCCCUCUCUCUCUCCUCCCUCUCCUCCCUUGUCCUCCCUCUCCCCUAUUCUUCCCUCUCCACACUUCUUUGUUUCUCCUCUGUCUGUCCACUUCUCAUUCUCUAGGUCCUCUCACGUUCCCUCUCCCUAAAACAGACCAUUUCUGUGUUCUGUGUGUGUGUGUGUCUCUCGAAACGGCCCAUUUCUACAGUGAGUUUCAGUCUCUCUCCAGGGGUAACUAAAGCCGUGUUCACACUGCAGGCAUUAAUGCUCAAAUCCGUUUUGGGAUACCGACUGUCCAAACACCAUGUUACAACCCACCAAAAUCAGAUGUGUGUGUUCACGCAGCAGUCAUUGGCUGACACGGCUACGCUAGUUGUCAUAGUAGGCGUGCGAGCGGUGGUGGAGGCUGAUUGGUGGUGGUGAUCGUGCUUCCUAUCACUCAGAAGUUAUGUAACAAGCUACGGUGACAACNNNNNNNNNNUUCAUGUCUCAUAGUAAUGAUGGACUGUUGUUUCUCUUUCGUUAUUUGAGCUGUUCUUGCCAUAAUAUGGACUUGGUCUCUUACCAAAUAGGGCUAUCUUCUGUAAACCAACGCAUUAAGGAGGAAAGAAAUUCCACAAAUAGACUUUUAACCAGGCACAGUGCAAUCUGAGCUUUUGCUAUCUCCUGUGUGCAAAUGUAUAAAAAAUAAUUCACAGCAGAAAGAGUCAGUGUCGCGUCAAUGUAAACUGAGAUUUUUGGAUAUAAAUAUGCACUUUAUCGAACAAAACAAAACACACAGAGACAGAAAGGGGAAAGGAGCGAGAGAGCGAGGGAGGGCAGGUAAGGUCAAAUAGAUGAGAGAAGGGCGUGUAAAGAAAGAAGAGAAAGCAAAAAAUAGAAAUGUGAAAGGACAAGCUGACAGCACCCACUGACUCAACCUCCUUACACUGUUCACACACAAACCCCUCCUCUGCUCCAGGUGUGUGCGUCACCAGUCAUUACCGGUGCAGGCUACAUGCUGGUGUAUCAUACUAACACACACAGACAACACCAUAUAAAAUGUGUGUGUGGAUGCACAUAAGUUGGUUUACUUAUUUUCCCUUUUGUACUUUAACUAUUUGCAAAUAAAUGACAUUUGAAAUGUCUUUAUUCUU